AAGCACACCUGCACAGAUCGUCUAUUAUUGGAGAGGAGGCCUUUAGGGAGGCCACGUGUCAGCGUCUACUGGAACGCCACUAAGAGACGUUACAUAUGAACACCUUCUAUGAACAGAAGCUUGCCGUGGGUACGGCACAUGACAUAGUGCCCAGAAACAGAAUGGCUGUCAAAAGCAUGCUGACAGACAGAUAGGGAAACCUCCAGACGUUCCCGAGGCCUACGGAGAAGCCCACCUGGGCCAGGAUGUACUGCAGCUUGCUGUUCCAGGCCGGCCGCUCCUCCUCCUCCUCGUCGGCGUCAGAGCCGCACUCCUCUACAUCACGCUC